GAGGGGUCCGCGGCUGAUUAGCUAGUUGGUGGGGUAAGAGCCUACCAAGGCGACGAUCAGUAGCCGUCCUGAGAGGGAGCACGGCCACACUGGAACUGAGACACGGUCCAGACUCCUACGGGAGGCAGCAGUGGGGAAUUUUUGGCAAUGGGGGAAACCCUGACCAAGCAACGCCGCGUGGGUGAUGAAGUAUCUUGGUACGUAAAACCCUUUCGGCAGGGACGAAUCAAAUUGACGGUACCUGCGGAAGAAGCUCCGGCCAACUCCGUGCCAGCAGCCGCGGUAAUACGGGGGGAGCAAGCGUUGUUCGGAAUUACUGGGCGUAAAGGGCGCGUAGGCGGCUGGACAAGUAGGUGGUGAAAUCCCCGGGCUCAACUUGGGGUCUGCCAUCUAAACUGCCUGGCUGGAGUGCAGGAGGGGGCAGUGGAAUUCCUGGUGUAGCGGUGAAAUGCGUAGAGAUCAGGAGGAACACCCGUGGCGAAGGCGGCUGCCUGGACUGCAACUGACGCUGAGGCGCGAAAGCUAGGGGAGCAAACAGGAUUAGAU
rnacentral:rRNA from 1 species